CCUACGGGGGGCAGCAGUGGGGAAUAUUGCGCAAUGGGGGAAACCCUGACGCAGCAACGCCGCGUGAGUGAGGAAGUAUCUCGGUAUGUAAAGCUCUAUCAGCGGGGAAGAAGAAAGACGGUACCUGACUAAGAAGCCCCGGCUAACUACGUGCCAGCAGCCGCGGUAAUACGUAGGGGGCGAGCGUUAUCCGGAUUUACUGGGUGUAAAGGGAGCGUAGACGGCGUCGCAAGUCUGAAGUGAAAGCCCGUGGCUCAACCGCGGAACCGCUUUGGAAACUGUGAGGCUGGAGUGCUGGAGAGGUAAGCGGAAUUCCUGGUGUAGCGGUGAAAUGCGUAGAUAUCAGGAGGAACACCGGUGGCGAAGGCGGCUUACUGGACAGUGACUGACGUUGAGGCUCGAAAGCGUGGGGAGCGAACAGGAUUAGAUACC
rnacentral:rRNA from 1 species